rnacentral:rRNA from 1 species
CAGGCUUAACACAUGCAAGUCGAGGGGCAGCAUGGUCUUAGCUUGCUAAGGCCGAUGGCGACCGGCGCACGGGUGAGUAACACGUAUCCAACCUGCCGUCUACUCUUGGACAGCCUUCUGAAAGGAAGAUUAAUACAAGAUGGCAUCAUGAGUCCGCAUGUUCACAUGAUUAAAGGUAUUCCGGUAGACGAUGGGGAUGCGUUCCAUUAGAUAGUAGGCGGGGUAACGGCCCACCUAGUCUUCGAUGGAUAGGGGUUCUGAGAGGAAGGUCCCCCACAUUGGAACUGAGACACGGUCCAAACUCCUACGGGAGGCAGCAGUGAGGAAUAUUGGUCAAUGGGCGAGAGCCUGAACCAGCCAAGUAGCGUGAAGGAUGACUACCCUAUGGGUUGUAAACUUCUUUUAUAAAGGAAUAAAGUCGGGUAUGGAUACCCGUUUGCAUGUACUUUAUGAAUAAGGAUCGGCUAACUCCGUGCCAGCAGCCGCGGUAAUACGGAGGAUCCGAGCGUUAUCCGGAUUUAUUGGGUUUAAAGGGAGCGUAGAUGGAUGUUUAAGUCAGUUGUGAAAGUUUGCGGCUCAACCGUAAAAUUGCAGUUGAUACUGGAUAUCUUGAGUGCAGUUGAGGCAGGCGGAAUUCGUGGUGUAGCGGUGAAAUGCUUAGAUAUCACGAAGAACUCCGAUUGCGAAGGCAGCCUGCUAAGCUGCAACUGACAUUGAGGCUCGAAAGUGUGGGUAUCAAACAGGAUUAGAUACCCUGGUAGUCCACACGGUAAACGAUGAAUACUCGCUGUUUGCGAUAUACUGCAAGCGGCCAAGCGAAAGCGUUAAGUAUUCCACCCUGGGGAGUACGCCGGCAACGGUGAAACUCAAAGGAAUUGACGGGGGCCCGCACAAGCGGAGGAACAUGUGGUUUAAUUCGAUGAUACGCGAGGAACCUUACCCGGGCUUAAAUUGCAGAUGAAUUACGGUGAAAGCCGUAAGCCGCAAGGCAUCUGUGAAGGUGCUGCAUGGUUGUCGUCAGCUCGUGCCGUGAGGAGUCGGCUUAAGUGCCAUAACGAGCGCAACCCUUGUUGUCAGUUACUAACAGGUUCCGCUGAGGACUCUGACAAGACUGCCAUCGUAAGAUGUGAGGAAGGUGGGGAUGACGUCAAAUCAGCACGGCCCUUACGUCCGGGGCUACACACGUGUUACAAUGGGGGGUACAGAGGGUCGCUACCACGCGAGUGGAUGCCAAUCCCCAAAACCUCUCUCAGUUCGGACUGGAGUCUGCAACCCGACUCCACGAAGCUGGAUUCGCUAGUAAUCGCGCAUCAGCCACGGCGCGGUGAAUACGUUCCCGGGCCUUGUACACACCGCCCGUCAAGCCAUGGGAGCCGGGGGUACCUGAAGUGCGUAACCGCGAGGAGCGCCCUAGGGUAAAACUGGUGACUGGGGCUAAGU